ACAACCACAGUUGCUAACAGUAUGAGUUCUGCAGUUAUACAGAACUAAGUCCAUUAGCUGUGUGACCCAUGGCCAAAUAUUUUCCUUCUCUGUGCCUGCAUUUCUUCAUCUGUAAACUGGAAUAAUGAUAGCAACUACUUCAGAGGACUAUGUUCAAGUGAUUCUCCUGCCUCAGUCUCCUGAGUAGCUGAUAUUACAGGUGCCUGCCACUACACCCAGGUGGAGUCUCGCUCUGUUGCCCAGGCUGGAGUGCAAUGGCGCCAUCUCGGCUCACUGCAACCUCCACCUCCCAGGUUCACACCAUUCUCCUGUCUCAGCCUCCCGAGAAGCCGGGACUACAAGCACCUGCCACCACACCCGGCUAAUUUUUUGUAUUUUUAGUAGAGACAGGGUUUCACCAUGUUAGCCAGGAUGGUCUCGAUCUCCUGAUCUCAUGAUCUGCCCGCCUCGGCCUCCCAAAGUGUUGGGAUUACAGGCAUGAGCCACCGUGCCAGGUGGUUUUAUAAGGGAAUUUUCCCCCACUUUGCUCUGCACUUCUCCUCGCUGCUGCCAUGUGAAAAAGGAUGUGUUUGCUUCCCCUUCUGCCAUGAUUGUGCUUUUCUCCAACUUCACUCUGCACUUUCCCUUGGUGUCACAAUGUAAGGAAGGAUGUGUUUGCUUCCCCUUCUGCCAUGAUUGCAAGUUUCCUGAGGCCUCCCCAGUCAUGCUAAACUGUCCAAUCAGCAUAAUGUCACCAAUGCAAUGGAACGAACUGAUUUUCUGCAGAAAGGAAAAUCAAUCAAGGUCCCAGUGGACUAAAUGAUGAUAUAAGGCUGAAGAAUGGACACAUCCUAUGAAGUCUCGCUCUGUCACCCAGGCUGUAGUGUAGUGGGGUGACCUUGGCUUACUGCAACCUCCACCUCCUAGGUUCCAGCGAUUCUCCCACCUCAGCCUCCUGAGUACCUGAGAUUAUAGGCACCUGCCACCAUGCCCAGCUAAUUUUUGUAUUUUUAGUAGAGACCGUGUUUCACCAUAUUGGCCAGGCUGGUCUUGAACUCCUGACCUCAAGCGAUCUGCCCACCUCGGCCUCCCAAAGUGCUGGGAUUACAGGCAUGAGCCACAGUGCCUGGCCUACGUUUUUCUUUUUAAAGACUGACUUUUCAUUUAGAUUAAAUGAUUGCUCUUCUAAAGUAAUUUACUCUUUGUUGGUUUUAAGAAAUCUUUUGCAUGUAUAAGGUAUAAAACAACAACUGUUUAUACAUUACUUCCAUUAGCCGAUGAACUAGCGGUUAAAUGAUGCUUCAAAUAGAAAAUAAGUUAAUUCCACUAAUAGAUUGUGUUUUCAUUAAAGUCAUAAACAUGAAAUAACACUUUACAAAGUUCAUUUUGUUGAGUACCUUGCAUUACUGUGAAUUAUAUUGUAAAGUAGUUUAAAGCUUAACAUUAAAGAUAAAAUUAUUAUUUUUGCUGUUA